rnacentral:rRNA from 1 species
UACGUAGGGCGCGAGCGUUGUCCGGAAUUAUUGGGCGUAAAGAGCUCGUAGGCGGCUUGUCACGUCGAUUGUGAAAGCCCGAGGCUUAACCUCGGGUCUGCAGUCGAUACGGGCUAGCUAGAGUGUGGUAGGGGAGAUCGGAAUUCCUGGUGUAGCGGUGAAAUGCGCAGAUAUCAGGAGGAACACCGGUGGCGAAGGCGGAUCUCUGGGCCAUUACUGACGCUGAGGAGCGAAAGCGUGGGGAGCGAACAGG